UAUUAUGAAAUGAUUACCAGAAUAGGUUCAGCUAACAUACAGAUACAAUAAAAAGAAAAGAAAGGGAAAAAAUUUUGUCCUUGUGAUGAAAACACUUAGGAUUUACUCUCUUAAUAACUUUCCUGCAUAGUACACAGCUGUGCUAGCCAUAGUCACCAUGUUAUACAUUACAUCUCUAGUACUUAUGUAUCUUAUAACUGGAAGUUUUUACCUUUUGACACUUUCCUCCAAUUUCCCCUUACCCCCACUCUCAACGUAUUCUUAAAAGUAAAGAAACACUUUACACCAAAAGAGGCAUAAAGAUUUAUAAAGAAAUUCCAGAAGUUUUACUCCCUACACAAAUUGUCUGAUGGGAAAUAGGGCAUCCCUUUAUGGAAAGAUCUAGAACCAACAGACAUUGUACACAUAAAUGUUUAGCUGUCCCCCAGUUUGCAAAGCUUCCCUUGAAGUAUGUGUUGGGCUCUGCUUGGCUGUAGCUGCUCUUCUCAAUGUACGGUGGUCUCAAAUUUUCCUCACAAGAUUGUGUCUUUGCGUCUUACAGCACGUAAUUCUUGAAGGUAAUAGGGAGGAACCUCUUGAUGUCUAGUCAUGUCACAUGAAAAAAAUUGCAUUUAAAUGUGCUUGCAAUUUAAUCUCAAUUAUUGCAUAUAAUAUAUAAAUUAGUAUAUGUUGUAUAAAAGAAUUCAACAUGGCUUAUUUAUGUAAAUAUUGUUUCAGAGAAAGAAAUGGCUUAAGAAUUGUAAAGUCAAAUGUAUUAUUCUCUAUAUAGUCUUUUGUGGUGCUCACUGUUUUGUCUUCAAGUUAGUUAUUAUUCACUUGUGACUGAAGAGCUAUUACACAUACUAAAUGGUCUCAAAAUUGUUAUAACAGAACAUAUUGUUAAUCACGGAAAGUGAUAUUAAUUUUAAUUUUGAGAACUCAGCAUGCUAUUACAACAAGCAGUUACUAGUCAAAUUUUUAUAUAUUUACUUCGUUAGUUGAGAAGUAUUUACCUCAACAUACUUUGUGAUUCAAUGAAAAAACCCCAGGGAGCUAAACUUGUAUCUAUUAAAAAAGGAGAAUCCAAUUAACACAUUAAAAAAUAUAGGGCAUAUGUGAAAGUGUUAAAUGAAAAUAGAAGCAUUAGCAAUUGCAAGAGAUCCAUCUUACCAUAAAAGUUCCCAGAUUCAAAAUUGAAGUGCUCACUAUAACAGUUACUAAUAAGAAAUUUAUUGGACCAAAUAAAUAACUAAAUCAAAACCAACAUAGGAGCCAAAUCUAAUUUGCACCAAAGAUAGAUUUGUAAAUCCAUUGCCAGUGUGUCUAGAGAUAAUUACUCCACAAAAUCAGACCAUAACCAAAUUCUCAAUAUUGACUCAUCAGAGUUUAAAAUUCAAUCCAUUUAGCAAAAAUACCAUGUGAAAUCGAGGCAGUGCAAUAAUCUCAGGCUUUUCUCAAAAAUAGUAAUCUUGCUGAAAGAUUUCUGGGUGCAAAAUUACAUGGUCCAGUAAAGCUCACUUUAGAAUGUAAAGCAUGCAAAGCCCAAAUCUCUAUAGAACUUGUAUGCCAUGAGUAUCUCUAAAAUGAGCUUCUUAAAUCAUCUCAGAGGGGAAAUGGUCCAGGGUGAACAGAGGUCUGGCAAGCUGUCUCUGAUUACCUCACUUCCCAGAUGAUUUAAAACCUUGUUGUUUGGAAAGGUAUUUGCUACCAUAUUUUCAAAUGCUAGAAAGAUUUGCAUGCUUCUGUGUAAAAGAGAGUUACUGAACUGUGUAUUUGCAAAAAUGAAUAACAGCAAGUUUUUCCUUCAAGUAACCAGAAAUAUUGUGUUGUUUUGCUCUGGCAGUAGGCACUUCAGAAAACAUGAAAUACAGAUUGGAAAAUUUUAUGUUCCAGAAAACAUAGAUGUUCAUUUGAAAUCUGUUUAAAAUAAAAUAUCUUUCUGGUUUACUUGGCAGUACUGCUUCUCAUCAUGUUUAUACUGGGCCUCAAAAAGGAGGUUCUGUUCAUCCCACUUGUGCAUUAAAGUGACACUGGAAAUGUAUGAGUUUAUCCAACUGAAGAGGAGUUUUGGAGCAGAUAAAUUAUUAAAUCAGAUAUCUUCAUUGUCGUUGGACGAAUAGAUGUUCUUAUCCUGUGAAAAGUAAUGAGAGGAAGGGGAAGUGGGGAUGGCAACAGGGGGAGCUCUCAUGUUCUCCUGCUAAUUGUCAAUUGGAGACCCUCCACAGGAAGAGACCUACCUUGCGUUUCUGAUAGGAAGAAGCCACCACUUUACUACCCCAGCGGAAGGAAGAAAGGUUUUCUUCUUGCCCCGCAACAGCCUAGCCAAUGAAAGACUGUCAAAACACAACCAAUGAAAAGCCACUACACUUCGAACUCCCAGUUGACUCCAAUAGAUUUUUUUGUUUAUAAUGGCCCCUCCCAACUACCCCAUUUCCUCUAAAAAAGAGUGUUCCUCUCCUCUGUUCUCAGGUCUUGCCUGUGAUUUUGCCAUGGCUUGCAGGUCCUGAAUUGCAGUUCUCUGCUAUUCCCAAAUAAACCCAUUUUUACUGGUAAAAUAACUGAUAGGUUUAUUUUUAUGGGUAACACUCCUAAUGAGUAGAAAAUUGGCAUUUACCAAGAUGAGUAAUUAAUCAUAAACUGCUACAUAAACUUCAGUUCAGAAGUUAAAGUCAUACAGCUAAUUCCUAACUUAUUGUGCAGAUUCCUUCUUGCCAUAGAUGAAAAUGUAUACCAUAGGCUUUAUAUUAUACAUCCCUUUGUGGUGAUCUUGAUUCCACUUGCCAAAAAUAAGCUACAUGAUUCCAACUGUUUUUCGAUACAAAUGCCAAUAAUUAAGACACUUCAUAUCUAUUUCUGGCAUAAGAACCUAUACACAAAAGAGACAAAGAAUUCAGAAACUAGGGACUUCACCAAAAGAGAUUUUUAAAAUAUCUGAGUAAUUUUGGCUUUGGAGAGAGAGAGUAUACAUGUGCAGUGAUUUAUUAACAUAUUUCAGCUUUCAAACUCUUUAGAGUAAAUGCUUCUUUACUUCAUAAGUUGAAUUUAUAUUUUACCAUUUGUUUAAAAGAUGAAAAUGAACUUAAAUAUUCAAAAUGUGCUUAAGAGUUCAAGACAUUCCUUACAUAGCUACUUGGCUACUAAUUUUUAUCUUCAGUGAUUAUGUUAAAAGAGUAUACAGAAAAUUUUUUCAGACUCAAAUACAAGACAGAUACGAGAUGUAAAAGAACUGGUUUCUGAGGAUGUUUGUAUGUCGAACUGUUUGAAGUGGCAAGUAUAGUUUGUACAAUUCUGGAAUGCAAACAAAGAAUUAUAAGAUUAGUUCCCCAUUAGGAAUUCUUCAUUCUCCUAAGAUAUUUAGCCAGUGCACUGAGAUGUGAAGGUGGCUGUGUGGAGUUUCCUUUGACCUUUACAUCCAGAAGAGAUGAGGCUAGAGGAGGAGUCUUACUGCAAAGAGCCAAGACAUUUAUUUGUAAGGUUGGCUCCUCCAUCUUCCUUUGAAAGAAUUCCAUUUGCUCACCGGGCCUGAGCACAACACUCCCUUUCCUUCAGCUAAAAGUUUGACAGCCUCUGCCUAUGUCACAAGGACUCAUUUCUCAAGCGAAGUUUAAGGCAAAGGGUAUAAUUAAGAUGGGGGUGGGGACGGAAACUUCAAAAAAAGGAUUAAAAAAGACACCUAUUUUCCUUUCACAGUAGAAGAGUGCAUAGAGAAUACUCUUGCAAGUCAAUGAAGAAAUUAAUUAGUUAUCCAAUCAUGCAUUAUCUUGAUCAACUGAAAUCUAACUUGCUCAGCAAGUAAUUCACGAAAAUGUUUAAGUGAAUGAAUGAAUACGUUUAAGUGAAACAAAACAUAAAAAUUUGACUCCCCCCAAAUGGGAAGAUGAAGAUAUGUUCCUAAUAAGGAAUAUGUGUAACCUCUAGGAAAAAAACCAAAAAGCAAAAAAACAACACCCGCUCAGAUGAAGCACCUAAGAGUAUCAGCGAUAAACACUGCUUUAGAGAGUCUGAGAUUCUGAGUGGGAGAAUUUCUCAGGAUGCUACAAAGGGUACAAUCCAACAUCAUUAUACAAGUAUAUCACCUAUCUGAGAAGAAUGACUUAAAGGAAAAGUAUGAUACUAUGAGCUGGAUCACUCACCUGAUAUGAGCUAAAAAUGAGCAGCUCUUAUGUCACUCAAAGAUUGAAAAAGUAAAGAAAUGAAUAUUUUCAUAGGAAAUAAAAGAAAA